CACAGAAAGGCCUUGGAGUCUUCAAAUGUAUAGUUUAUUGAAAACUAGUUGGAUAAACAUCUUUCAGGAGUGACACAAGUACAACUCUGUCCUAAGAAUAAGACAUUUCCUUUUUCUUCUUUUUGGUCUAGGACGGCUGUACUUUCCACUUCCUAUUUGCUUAAGAUAGAUAUUUGUGCCUGGCCAAGGCACAAUGUAGCUACAUUGACUGCAUUAAGCUAGUGGUAUCCAACCUUUCUUAUGGAAGCACUGAAAGAACUUAUAUUUGUCAGUACUCGGCUACAUGUGGGUCUCUUUUAUAUUAAGCAGUAUAGACUACAACAUACCCAGAUGUGCUACAGAAAGCUUAUCUGAAGACAUCACACUCACAAUUUGGCCUUAUCUACCCUGUUAAUCGUCAGAAAGAGUCCAUCCUUGCAUGGCAAAUAUUUUCUCUGUACUGGAUCUGCCCCAAAGGCCCAAGGAAUUUUUCCUAAAGGUUUAUUUCAUGUCCCAUAAGGAUAAAAGAUCUGCACUGAAGAUUUUGGAAGACAUAUGAACCCUUUAAAGGCUAGUACCAGGAGCCUGCAGGUCUGAAAGGUGAACAAUCAGCAGAGGAAAUCAGUAAUGUAACAAGAGUUUAAUUAAC
rnacentral:lncRNA from 1 species